AUAACCUACUACUUAAUAUUUAUUGUGAAAAUAUUGUGAUAAUAUUUCCUUCUUUUUCAUUUUUUUUCUCCUCCACUCACUUACCGCAUUUUCUUCUUUUUUUUUUUUUUUUUUUUUCCCUCUUUUUUUCCAGUCCACACACGUACCCACUGGCCACUCUUUUCCUUUAUUUCCUUCUUUCCUUUCUUUUUCCAUUUCACUUCUCCAAGUUUCCAGAACGUCCCAGAGAGCUCUCCUUCUUCCUCUUUUUCUUUUUUUUUUUUUUUUUUUUUUUUUUUUUCUUAGCUCUUCGUCUGCAUGAUUCUUCCUUCCUCUUUUUUUUUUUUUUUUUUUUUUUUUUUUUUUUUUUCUUAGCUCUUCGUCUGCAUGAUUCUUCCUUCCUCUCUUUUUUUUUUUUUUUUUUUUUUCUUAGCUCUUCGUCUGCAUGAUUCUUCCUUCCUCUCUUUUUUUUUUCUUAGCUCUUCGUCUGCAUGAUUCUUCCUCUCUUUUUUUUUUUUUUUUUUUUUUUUUUUUUUUUUUUUUUUUUUUUUUUUUCUUAGCUCUUCGUCUGCAUGAUUCUCAUCAAACGAAGAUAGAUGGGAAAUCCAAAAGGGAGGAAUGGGUCAGAUCGGUGCUUGAUCUCUGCCUUCACCGCUGCCUGUCUUCCUCUCCACCGUUGCUUGAUCUCUUCCUCACUGCCAACGACAUGCGGCGGAAAUGGAGGAGCGGAGAAGAGAAAAGGGCAAAGUUUAUUGGUGA